UUUUUUUGGUGGGUUUUAGCGAUGAACAAAAUGAACCCGGAUAAAGUGAGUGAACAGUUUUUGACAGCUCAUCAGCUAAAAUGGCGAUUCCAGCGUCUUUUCCAUUGCUACAAAUCUCCAUUGUUGGCUUAAAAUUCUGCGAAUUUGGCGACUAGAAAAAGUUGGUGCUAAAAAAAUAACGCGACAAAAAAGCAAAAUAUGGAAAACCGCAAUAGCAAAAGAGUGACAAGGAUCAAAAAUAUAUGCUCGUUCAAUAUUUGGAGGAUCAUAGAGAAUUUGCUCACGACAGAUUCGUCAAUGGCACCGGGAGCAAAAGUUUAGCUGAGCAGUGGAACCACCUCGCCGAAAAAUUAAAUGCUUGCGGAGGAUCCAUAAAAGAUGGUGAAGGAUGGAAGAGAGCGUGG